GGAAGGAAGAAGAAGAGGAAGAGCAAGGAACCAAGCAAAGAUUCAAGCUUUAAGAUCAAGGAUCUUGGGACAUCCAAGAGGAUGGAUUGGAGAUAUUGACUGAGAGUUAUCAUGAUGGGGAAGCUUAGGGAGCAAGUAGAAAUCAAGAAGAAAGCUUAUGGUACAAGAUAUCUUUAAACUAGAGAGGAGCAACCUGCGAGUGUCUUCAGAUUUCCUCAAACAAGA